UACGAAGGGGGCUAGCGUUGUUCGGAAUUACUGGGCGUAAAGCGCGCGCAGGCGGUUCUUCAAGUCAGUGGUGAAAGCCCGGAGCUCAACUCCGGAACUGCCAUUGAAACUGUAGAACUUGAGGAUGAGAGAGGUGAGUGGAAUUCCCAGUGUAGAGGUGAAAUUCGUAGAUAUCUGGAGGAACACCGGUGGCGAAGGCGGCAUCCUGGACCAUUACUGACGCUGAGGAGCGAAAGCCAGGGGAGCAAACGGG
rnacentral:rRNA from 1 species